UACGAGGGGUGCAAGCGUUGCUCGGAAUUAUUGGGCGUAAAGGGUAGGUAGGUGGUCUCGUUUGUCUGGGGUGAAAGCCUUGGGCUUAACUCAAGAAGUGCCCCAGAAACGGCGAGACUAGAGUAUUGGAGAGGGUCGUGGAAUUCCCGGUGUAGCGGUGAAAUGCGUAGAGAUCGGGAGGAACACCAGAGGCGAAGGCGGCGACCUGGACAAUUACUGACACUCAACUACGAAAGCGUGGGGAGCAAACAGG
rnacentral:rRNA from 1 species